rnacentral:tRNA from 1 species
GCCCGCAUAGCUCAACCGGUAGAGCCUCCGGCUUGUACCUGGAGAGAUGCCCGUUCGAAUCGCUGCUGCGGGCU